rnacentral:rRNA from 1 species
GUAGGGAAUCUUCCACAAUGGACGAAAGUCUGAUGGAGCAACGCCGCGUGAGUGAAGAAGGGUUUCGGCUCGUAAAGCUCUGUUGGUAGUGAAGAAAGAUAGAGGUAGUAACUGGCCUUUAUUUGACGGUAAUUACUUAGAAAGUCACGGCUAACUACGUGCCAG